rnacentral:rRNA from 1 species
UACGGCGGCGGUGCCACCCUGAACAAGCCCGAUCCUGCCUGAUCUCGGGAGCUAAGCAUGGUCGGGCCUGGUUAGUACUUGGAUGGGAGACCCGCCAGGGAAGACCAGGGUGCUACAGGCA